AGUGUAACAUCAUCCCAAAACGCAACGUAGCAAACCUGAUUUCACAAUAAAAACUUCAAUUGGAAUGAAUGCAGCAUACAGAACAAUUCAACAAAAGACUAAAGAUGUGUUCAAAAAUUAAAACUGUUCAAGAGAAUCAGAUUGACAAACCUUUUGAGUUGAUGCCUUAGACAAUCCAAUGGGUUGGUAAAGGUUAUCUCCCCCACCAAAGGUCCAAAGGCACAUGCGGAGACUACAAUUUUACAACUUCGCAUAUACUUAUUAUCUUCAUCUGAAAUACUAAACCCUCCAUUCUCGUUGAAAACCCCACAGUGCACCGAAACUGUCUCACUCACCUGAUCACAACAAAAUAGCAAUCAGCAAUCAA
rnacentral:lncRNA from 1 species